rnacentral:rRNA from 1 species
GUGAGGAAUAUUGGACAAUGGGCGCAAGCCUGAUCCAGCCAUGCCGCGUGCAGGAAGACGCAUCUAUGGUGUGUAAACUGCUUUUGUACGGGAAGAAACACUCCCUCGUGAGGGAGCUUGACGGUACCGUAAGAAUAAGGAUCGGCUAACUCCGUGCCAGCAGCCGCGGUAAUACGGAGGAUCCAAGCGUUAUCCGGAAUCAUUGGGUUUAAAGGGUCCGCAGGCGGUUUAAUAAGUCAGUGGUGAAAGCCCAUCGCUCAACGAUGGAACGGCCAUUGAUACUGUUAGACUUGAAUUACAAGGAAGUAACUAGAAUAUGUAGUGUAGCGGUGAAAUGCUUAGAUAUUACAUGGAAUACCAAUUGCGAAGGCAGGUUACUACUUGUGGAUUGACGCUGAUGGACGAAAGCGUGGGGAGCGAACAGGAUUAGAAACCCCAGUAGUCC